rnacentral:misc_RNA from 1 species
UCCGGUUUGUCACCGGCAGUCUCCCAUGAGUCCCCAACUAAAUGGUAGCAACUAAGGACGGGGGUUGCGCUCGUUGCGGGACUUCACCCAACAUCUCACGACACGAGCUGACGACAGCCAUGCAGCACCUGUCUCCGGUCCAGCCGAACUGAAGGACUCCGUCUCUGGAAUCCGCGACCGGGAUGUCAAGGGCUGGUAAGGUUCUGCGCGUUGCGUCGAAUUAAACCACAUGCUCCACCGCUUGUGCGGGCCCCCGUCAAUUCCUUUGAGUUUCAGCCUUGCGGCCGUACUCCCCAGGCGGGGCACUUAAUGCGUUAGCUACGGCACGGAACCCGUUGAUAAGGCCCCACACCUAGUGCCCAACGUUUACGGCGUGGACUAC